GGGACUCUUACACCUCUUACACCUAGCUAAGCUCCUGGCGUCUAGAGGUGCUCAGGCCCUGACCCCUCUGCCAGGCUCAGUGGGGUUUCACACACCCCGUGGUAGCCACAGGCAACCGUAGUGAAUUCACACCCACUUGGUUUCACUGUUUGGACUUUCUAGAGCCGGAGUGAUGAGGGUAGGGGUCCCCUCCACUAGGGCUAUCCCCCCAUCCUGCCUCUAGGACGGCUGGAGCACAGGAGCCACCUCCCCAGGGAAUUCUCAGGCCUCACCCGGCUUCCAUCCCUCUGGGAGAUUCCAGCAGUGACAGCCUGGGCCAAUGGGCAAGGGGAAUUGGAGUGGUGGGUGGGGCUCUGGUCCCCGUGGGCGGCACCCUCCCCCUUCAAGCAGGCAUCAUUGAUAUAUGCAAAGCAUAUGCAAAUCACCCAGAAGAGAGACACAACAACGGUGGAAUGUCAGAAGAGACCUUGGAGAGGAGCCAGCCUGUGCCCCCUCAUUUCACAGAUCUCCAGAGCACAUGGGGGACCUGCAUCUCCAUCCCGGCCCUGAGGGUCAUCACAGAGAACUGGCCAACAUGGGGAUACUGGUUCGAACCCUGGUCCAGGAAGAUCCCACAUGCUGCGGAGCAACUAAGCCCGUGCGCCACAACUACUGAGCCUGCCCUCUACAGCCCGCGAGCCACAACUACUGAAGCCCGUGAGCCACAACUACUGAAGCCCGCACACCUAGAGCCCAUGCUCCGCAACAAGAGAAGCCACUGCAAUGAGAAGCCCGCGCACUGCAACGAAGAGUAGCCCCUGCUCACCGCAACUAGAGAAAACCCGCGUGCAGCAAUGAAGACCUAA